rnacentral:rRNA from 1 species
CCCUUAGAUGUUCUGGGCCGCACGCGUGCUACACUGAUGCAUUCAACGAGUCUAAAACCUGGUCUGAUAGGGCUGGGUAAUCUUUUGAAAGUGCAUCGUGAUUGGGAUAGAUGAUUGCAAUUCUUCAUCUUCAACGAGGAAUGCCUAGUAAACGCAAGUCAUCAGCUUGCAUUGAUUACGUCCCUGCCCUUUGUACACACCGCCCGUCGCUCCUACCGAUUGAAUGAUCCGAUGAAUACCAUGGAUUGAGAGUACGAAUAGGUUCGCUUAUUUCUGCUGCUCGAGAAGCGGAGUAAAUCUUAUCAUUUAGAGGAAGGAGAAGUCGUAACA